rnacentral:rRNA from 1 species
GACGAACGCUGGCGGCGUGCUUAACACAUGCAAGUCGAACGGAAAGGCCCUGCUUGCAGGGUACUCGAGUGGCGAACGGGUGAGUAACACGUGGGUGAUCUGCCCUGCACUUCGGGAUAAGCCUGGGAAACUGGGUCUAAUACCGGAUAGGAGCCAUUUUUAGUGUGAUGGUUGGAAAGUUUUUUCGGUGUAGGAUGAGCUCGCGGCCUAUCGGCUUGUUGGUGGGGUAAUGGCCUACCAAGGCGGCGACGGGUAGCCGGCCUGAGGGGGUGGACGGCGACACUGAGACUUAGGGACGGCACAGGCUGGGACGCUAGGCAGAUGGGGGGAAGAUUGCACAAGCGGCGCAGGGCUGGUGCAGCGGGGCCGCGGGGGGGAAGACGGUCUUCUGGUGGAAGACUCAUUGCGCUAGGGACGAAGCUUGUUGUGACGGUACCUAGAGAAGAAGCACCGGCUAACUACGUG